AAGGUGUUAAUUAGGGAAUGUGUGAUCCUACCAUCAGACCAAUUUGGGGAAAAAAGGUGAAUAAUAUGGAGAUGAGCUGCCAGUAACAUAAUAUAUCAUAAUUAUAGUGCACAUUCCACUGGCAUUAAUGGCAGUGGGGUAGCAGGAUGGGAUGCUGGUUAAUUCACAUUAAUGUCAAGUCAGGCAGUUAAAAUUUUAAAAAGUAAAUGAGGAAGUCUAUUUGACUCUGAGCAGGCAAUUAACAUUCACUUUCUUUCCAAACUCCUCCAUUAACAGCCUUGAAAAAACCACUUGUGUUUGACAGGAGAAAAGACAUCUGAACUGUCCAAUAAUUUGCUUAUUUGUGGAAUUGCUGCUGAAAAACCAAGUGAAGAUGUGCUUUAUUCCCUCUAUAUGUGUAACAUGCUUUAAAGUGUGGGUCAUCUCUCACCUCGAGCACCUCAUCCACAGAAGUAUGAAAUGUUCCAGAAUAUAAAUGUGCAAAAUCACCACCACAGAAGAGGUGCUGAAUAUUCCUCCUGGCAGAUUCUACCAUGAAUGCAGAUGGU
rnacentral:lncRNA from 1 species